rnacentral:sRNA from 2 species
CCAAUGGAGCGCUAGGGUUCCGGUGACUGGCUGAUAGCCGUCACGACUGGUCCGAGAGCACUCGACCUCCAAGCUGGGGGUUACACGGCGGGACAAAAGCCCGGGAGAC